rnacentral:rRNA from 1 species
GACGAACGCUGGCGGCGUGCCUAAUACAUGCAAGUAGGACGCGGUUGCGAACGGGUGAGUAACGCGUAGGUAACUACCUAUUAGAGGGGGAUAACUAUUGGAAACGCUAGCUAAUACCGCAUACUAGUAGAUGGACCUGCGUUGUAUUAGCUAGUAGGUAGGGUAAUGGCCUACCUAGGCAACGAUACAUAGCCGACCUGGAAGGGAGGUCCGCCACAAUGGGAAUGAGGAAAGGGCCAGGCUCCCUCCGGGAGCAACAGUAGGGGAUCUUCGGAAAUGGGGGGAAACCUGGCCGGGCAACGCCGGGUGGGUGGAGGAGGUUUUCGGGUCGUAAAGCUCUGUUGUUAAGGAAGCGGUACUUAACCAGAAAGGGACGGCUAACUACGUGCCAGCAGCCGCGGUAAUUC